UACGUAGGGUGCGAGCGUUGUCCGGAAUUAUUGGGCGUAAAGAGCUCGUAGGCGGUCUGUCGCGUCGGAUGUGAAAACUCGGGGCUCAACCCCGGGCCUGCAUUCGAUACGGGCAGACUAGAGUACGGCAGGGGAGACUGGAAUUCCUGGUGUAGCGGUGGAAUGCGCAGAUAUCAGGAGGAACACCGAUGGCGAAGGCGGGUCUCUGGGCCGAUAUCGACGCUGAGGAGCGAAAGCGUGGGGAGCGAACAGG
rnacentral:rRNA from 1 species